UUCUUGGAAAUUUUAAUAUUUUUAUCUAUUUUUGACAAGACAAUGAGAAAAUGGGGUACAAUAUUGAUUUUUAAGAGGGGAGUAACCCAAAUCACCAACUAAGGACCUUAAAUAACCACUGAAUCAUGAAGAAAUUAUAAGUGCAAAGAUAACUAGGAGGUUUUCCUAGAGGUAACAAACCUUGAAAGAGUGCAUAAUAGCUCAUUGAUUAAUCACUCCUGCAUCAAAUAUGAAUGGAUAAAUGAUUUGGUGAAUCCAUGGGAUGUAAAAAUACAUUUUUAGUGGAGAAAUCCAUCUCAAAAGGAAGCAUCUGCAUGAGUAGGUGUGGACAAAGUGGAUGAA
rnacentral:ncRNA from 1 species